GCACAGAGAAGUAGCCCAGGAUCACACAGCAAGUUGCAGAAAGCUGUGCGCUGGAGGACUCCCACUUCGCCCCGUUGCUGGAAGCACAUAAUUGGAAAAAGCCGGCCAUGCUCUGCGUGUUUAGAGCUGUGUCAUCCUCUGUGAGACAAUGAGUCAACACCAGCUAAAACAACAUGAGUCAUUGCUUAUAAGAAGCCCAAGUGAAGCUGAAGUCGGUUAUGCCAAUCCUGAACAAACACGAUACUCUUAUGCAGAUGCUAAGAAAGUUCUUAUUAUGGGAGUUAAAAAAAAUUAUUACCAAUUCUCUUUAGAGUUCAUGGAAGUCCUUUGCCACUCAGGGGGCUUUUAAAUGUACCCUCAAAAGGAACUCUCUUCGUUUAACCACAUCUUACCCUAGUUCAUUCUCUCUUCUGUCUCUUUCACUGCCCCCCAACCCUGCCCACACCCACUUCAGCUCAUUACUAUUUUAAUCUGGCUUAAGAGCUAUUAGAUUGAAAUCCAUAAAAUCAAAAUUGUAAUCUUA